GGGGGUAAAAUUAAUAAGAAAAAACUAAUAAAAAAAAAUUUAUUAUUAAAAAUAUCUAAUGGGGGUUAAAGUAUUUUUAAUAGAAAAAAUUUAUAGAUUUAUAGUUAAAUAGUAUUGUAAAAGAAAUUUUAAAUAAUUGAAAUAUAAAAUUUGAAUAAAAGUAAAUUUAAUUUAUUGUAUCUUGUGUAUCAGAGUUUAUUAAAUAAAAAUUUUUACAUAAAAAAUUCUCGAAUUUAAAAGAGUUAAUUAAUUAAAAAAGUUAAUGUUGAAUAAUUAUUUUAAAUAAUUAAUUAGAAAUGAAAUGUUAAUCGUUUUUAAAUAUAUCUAGUUUUUUCAGAAAAAAAUUUAAUUUUAAAUUAAAAUAAUUUUAUAAUUAAUUAAUUAAUUAUGAAAAUUUAAAAUUUAAUAUUUUAGGGGAUAAGCUUUAAAUUAAAAAAUUAUAAUAAUUAAUUUAUAAUUAAAAUUUUUAAUAUUUAUAUUGUUUAAAAAUUAUAAUUUGUUAUAAAAAAUUUUAAUUAAAUUAAAAUUUAAAAAUAAAAUUUAAUUUUUUAUGAGAAAAUUAUUUUUAAUAGUUAAAAAUUAGAAAUAAUGAUAAAAUUAGUAUAAGAUAAAAAAAAAAAAUAAAUUUAAUUAAAAUUAAAUUAAAGGAAUUCGGCAAAAAUUUAUAUUCACUUGUUUAUCAAAAACAUGUCUUUUUGGGUAAUAAUUUAAAGUCUAAUCUGCCCACUGAUAUAAAUUAAAGGGCUGCAGUAUAUUGACUGUACAAAGGUAGCAUAAUCAUUAGUCUUUUAAUUGAAGACUUGUAUGAAAGAUUUGAUGAAAUAUAAACUGUCUCUAUUUUAUUAAUAAAAAUUAAUAUUUUAGUUAAAAAGCUAAAAUGAAAUUAAAAGACGAGAAGACCCUAUAGAGUUUAAUAUUUAUUUUUAUUACAUUAAAAUAUAUAAUUAAUUAAUGAAUUAAAAAAAAAUAUUUUGUUGGGGUGAUGAAAAAAUUUAAUAAACUUUUUUUUUUAUAAAACAUAGAUAAAUGAUUAAAUGAUCCAUAAUUUUAUGAUUAUAAGAAAAAAUUACCUUAGGGAUAACAGCGUAAUAUUUUUUUUUAGUACAAAUAAAAAAGAAAGUUUGCGACCUCGAUGUUGGAUUAAGAUAAAAAUUAAAUGCAAAAGUUUAAAUUUUUGAUCUGUUCGAUCAUUAAAAUCUUACAUGAUCUGAGUUCAAACCGGUGUAAGCCAGGUUGGUUUCUAUCUUUAAUAAAAUAUAAUAUUUUAGUACGAAAGGAUCAAAUAUUGAAAAUAAUUUUAAUUAAUUUGAAUAUUAUUAAUAUUAAUAUA
rnacentral:rRNA from 1 species